UCUAAUUCAUUAAGGGUUGAGGAAAGGAAGUGGCUUUGAGGUUAAGUUCUCCCAGUUGUUAUCAUUUCUUGAAGUGAUUGUCUCAGAAAAAGAGCCUGGAUGAGCACAAAGGAGCUGGAGACUUGAGCACACACAAAAAAAGAAUUCAAUCCCUGCCCUCGAGGUGUUUAUAUUCCACUGGACAAAAAAAAAAAAGAAUUCAAUCCCUGCCCUCGAGGUGUUUAUAUUCCACUGGACAAAACCAACAGAUACAUCAAAAAGGAAAUUCAAAAUAUGCACAAAAGGGAAGUAGACUUGGAGUAGUCGCUAAAGCUCUCAACACCUCAGUUUCCUCUGCAAUGUGGUAAGAUGGAAAGAGAACUGGAGUCCCAAAUCGAUAUACCUAUCUUGUUUGCCAUGGUUAUCCAGUGAAAAUAAGUGAGACUUGAGGACUGAUGAGAUGUAUUUGGCAGUGGCUCAGGAAAGAAGUUCUUCCAGAUGCACACCUUGUAUGCUUGGCAUCCCUGAAAGGAGAUCUGCAUUCUCAAGACCUACUACAUUGCUUGUCUUGGGCCCAGAACAAGUGAUGGAGCUGGACCCUCUCCCAGAUGGGCAGAAGUUUAUCCAUCAUUCUGGAAGAGGCUGAUAUCCAUGUCACUUCCCUUCCUAUCUCCCCCUCCCUGCUUCCCCCCAACACACACACUCAUUGGCAUAACUACUUUGGGAAGACACAGCUCCUGGAACUAAUAGAAGAAGAAGGGGAGUGAGUGGAACCUACAAUUCUAUUGUGGGGGGGGGGGAAUGGCAAUUGAGAGCCAGAAAAGUAGUGUCACUCUAGGGAGAUGUCAGUGACAAUUAUGGUUGGCUGCGAAGCUUAUGUGUCUCAGCACCCACGAAGCCAAAUUUUAGAUGAAUAGACCCCUUAGUAUUGAUGUUUUCAGCACAUCUGGCUCCCUUGGUCUUUGGCUCACAGACAGUCAAGAAUGUAUUUCAGUAACUAGAAAAAUUCAUGAAUAAAAGAUAGCUUUUGGAGGGGGGGAAGGAUAGAUUGAUGAAGUACAUGAUUGUGUGUCCAAUAUAUUUAUACUACUGUUUUA